rnacentral:rRNA from 1 species
ACUCGAGUGGCGAACGGGUGAGUAACACGUGGGUGAUCUGCCCUGCACUUCGGGAUAAGCUUGGGAAACUGGGUCUAAUACCGGAUAGGAGCCAUCUUUAGUGUGGUGGUUGGAAAGUUUUUCGGUGUAGGAUGAGCUCGCGGCCUAUCAGCCUGUUGGUGGGGUAAUGGCCUACCAAGGCGGCGACGGGUAGCCGGCCUGAGAGGGUGGACGGCCACAUUGGGACUGAGAUACGGCCCAG